rnacentral:rRNA from 1 species
CGGCCUACGGGGGGCAGCAGUGAGGAAUAUUGGUCAAUGGGCGGGAGCCUGAACCAGCCAAGCCGCGUGAAGGAAGAAGGCGCCAAGCGUCGUAAACUUCUUUUGUCGGGGAACAAAGGGCGCCACGUGUGGCGUUGUGAGCGUACCCGAAGAAAAAGCAUCGGCUAACUCCGUGCCAGCAGCCGCGGUAAUACGGAGGAUGCGAGCGUUAUCCGGAUUUAUUGGGUUUAAAGGGUGCGUAGGCGGACGGUCAAGUCAGCGGUAAAAAUGCGGUGCUCAACGCCGUACAGCCGUUGAGACUGGCG